rnacentral:rRNA from 1 species
CUCUUCUGGAUGAGUUGCGAACGGGUGAGCAACGCGUAGGUAACCUGCCUGGUAGCGGGGGAUAACUAUUGGAAACGAUAGCUAAUACCGCAUAAUAGUAGAUGUUGCAUGACAUUUGCUUAAAAGGUGCAAUUGCAUCACUACCAGAUGGACCUGCGUUGUAUUAGCUAGUUGGUGGGGUAACGGCUCACCAAGGCGACGAUACAUAGCCGACCUGAGAGGGUGAUCGGCCACACUGGGACUGAGACACGGCCCAGACUCCUACGGGAGGCAGCAGUAGGGAAUCUUCGGCAAUGGACGGAAGUCUGACCGAGCAACGCCGCGUGAGUGAAGAAGGUUUUCGGAUCGUAAAGCUCUGUUGUAAGAGAAGAACGAGUGUGAGAGUGGAAAGUUCACACUGUGACGGUAUCUUACCAGAAAGGGACGGCUAACUACGUGCCAGCAGCCGCGGUAAUACGUAGGUCCCGAGCGUUGUCCGGAUUUAUUGGGCGUAAAGCGAGCGCAGGCGGUUAGAUAAGUCUGAAGUUAAAGGCUGUGGCUUAACCAUAGUACGCUUUGGAAACUGUUUAACUUGAGUGCAAGAGGGGAGAGUGGAAUUCCAUGUGUAGCGGUGAAAUGCGUAGAUAUAUGGAGGAACACCGGUGGCGAAAG